UUCCUACCAAUUCUAAAGACAUACAGGUAAGAUGAAUUGGAGACUUUAAAUUGUCCGUAGGUGUGAGUAAGGAUGUGAAAUGUUUUUGCCCCCCGUGACCCUUAA